CUACGGGUUGCAGCAGUGGGGAAUAUUGGACAAUGGGCGAAAGCCUGAUCCAGCAAUGCCGCGUGUGUGAAGAAGGCCUGCGGGUUGUAAAGCACUUUCAAUUGUGAAGAAAAGCCUGGUGUUAAUACCACCGGGUCUUGACGUUAACUUUAGAAGAAGCACCGGCUAACUCCGUGCCAGCAGCCGCGGUAAUACGGAGGGUGCGAGCGUUAAUCGGAAUUACUGGGCGUAAAGCGCACGUAGGCGGUUUGGUCAGUCAGAUGUGAAAGCCCCGGGCUCAACCUGGGAACUGCAUUUGAUACUGCCGAACUAGAAUGUGGUAGAGGGAAGUGGAAUUCCAGGUGUAGCGGUGAAAUGCGUAGAUAUCUGGAGGAACAUCAGUGGCGAAGGCAGCUUCCUGGACCAACAUUGACGCUGAGGUGCGAAAGCGUGGGUAGCAAACAGGAUUAGAUACCCUCGUAGUC
rnacentral:rRNA from 1 species